GCAGUGGUGGUUCAGCGGUAGAAUUCCCGCCUUCCAUGCAGGAGACUAGGUUUGAUUUCCCACCAGUGCA
rnacentral:tRNA from 1 species